rnacentral:rRNA from 1 species
UACGUAGGGUGCAAGCGUUAAUCGGAAUUACUGGGCGUAAAGCGUGCGCAGGCGGUUGUGCAAGACAGAUGUGAAAUCCCCGGGCUUAACCUGGGAAUUGCAUUUGUGACUGCACGGCUAGAGUGUGUCAGAGGGGGGUAGAAUUCCACGUGUAGCAGUGAAAUGCGUAGAUAUGUGGAGGAAUACCGAUGGCGAAGGCGGCUUCCUGGACCGACACUGACGCUGAGGCGCGAAAGCUAGGGGAGCAAACGGG